UAGGGAAUCUUCCACAAUGGGCAAAAGCCUGAUGGAGCAACGCCGCGUGUGUGAUGAAGGGUUUCGGCUCGUAAAACACUGUUGUAAGAGAAGAAUGACAUUGAGAGUAACUGUUCAAUGUGUGACGGUAUCUUACCAGAAAGGAACGGCUAAAUACGUGUCAG
rnacentral:rRNA from 1 species